ensembl:lncRNA
GAUCAUCUCCAGACUGCUGCAGGAGCUUUGUCCUAACGUGCCCAUGGAUGAAAAGCCCCAACUUUAUGCUCAGGAUCUUUUUCAUAGUGCUAUAAAUAAGCUGUCUGAGUCUCCAGGGGUAGCAGUAUGUGCUGAUGAGACUAUCUGUGACGUCUGCCGCCAUCCACAGGCCAUUGAGUUAAUCUGCGGCCGUGUUCUGGAGUGCCUGCAAUUUCAGAUUAACCUCAUGGGCUACAAUUUAAGCUCUGCCCUGGAUGCCCAAGAUGAGGCUCUCAGCUACUUUAUUGUUGCUCAUCUUGUGCAAGAGACCCUGCUGUUGAUCUCAAAUCAGACCAAUGGCAGCUCCCCUGAAGUAGACUCAGGUUCCCACCAUCAACCUGAGAGUCAAACACAACCAUGUGUAGUGAGCAGCAAAGUAAAUUAUGAAGAUUGGCCCACUUGUCAGUCAAACAUCACUGUACCAAAGGGCCAUUCCACCAUUUCUGCAACCAAUGGCUUGUCACCUAGGGCUUGCCUUUCCACUGUUUCUGCAACCAAGGGCCUACCACAGAUGCCAGGUCAAACGCCACCAUAUGUAGUGAGCAGCAAAGUCAAUUAUGAAGAAUGGCCCAUGCGUCAGUCAAACAUCACUGUAUCAAAGGGCCAUUCCACCAUUUCUGCAUCCAAGGGCUUGUCACCUAGGGCUUGCUUUUCCACUGUGUUUGCAACCAAGGGCCUACCACAGAUGCCAGGUCAAACAUACACUGGCAGAAGAAGGCACACAGUCCUGAGUGUGAAAAUAAAAAAGCACUCUCACAGAGGAAUUCAUAUCACACCAUCAGAAAGGAUAAUUCGGUUGAAGGAAAUGCAGAGGGAGUCAUCUUCUGAGGUCUCAUCAGUUUCAGUGGAGAUGUUUUCUGAAAGCCAUGGACACAGAAGAGGGUGUUUUGGAUGGCUCCUCUCUAAGCUUAUGUGCACUGAAGACAUCCACUGGUUCAAGUAAUGUUUGAGUGUAACCAAACAUUCAAACCUAAGGUGGAGGAAUGUAAAUAAAUCAAAGCAAGACUACUUUGACCUAUGAUUGUGAUUCAGUAACAGGUGAUUCACCGUGGUUUCAGUAAGUCAUAGAAUUUCCAUUAUAUGUAUAGUCAUUUCGGCUGCCGACCUUCCAUAGCUAGCUAAGUAUAUGACACAAACUGGUUGCUGGUUUGAAUGACGCCUGAACAACAGCAUAGCAUAUUAUGAACACGGUGCCAGAAACAUUCCAUUUAAAAACAUACAGUGACUUCAGAAAGUAUUCACACAUUUCAUUAUAUUGUAACGACCCUGGGUUUAUAUGCAUGAGCAUGCUUUUGCGGCACAGUCGAUAGCGCGCUGGACCUCAGACUAGAAGGUCGAGGGUUCGAGACCUGCUCCUGCUGUUGCAUUACAAUAUGUAUAGUCAUUUCGGCUGCCGACCUUCCACAGCUAGCUAAGUAUAUGAAGCAAAGAUUAUUUGUUGGUUUGAAUGAUGCCUGAACAACAGUAUAACCUAUUAUGAACACAGUGCCAGAAACAUUCCAUAAAAAAAAUAUACAGUGCCUUCAGAAAGUAUUCUCACUAGGACAAUAACCUAAAAUGCACAAUCAAAUCUACACCGGAAUCUGCUUGCCAAGAAGACACUGAAUGUUCAUGAGUGGCAUAGUUACAGUUUAUACUUAAAUCUGCUUGAAGAUCUAUGGCAAAACCUUGAAAUGGUUAUCUAGCAAUGAUCAACAACCAAUUUGACAGAGCUUGGAGAAAAAAAAAUGAAAAAAUGAUGAGGAAAUGUUGCACAAUCCAGGUGUGGAAAACUCUUAAGAGACUUACCCAGAAAGACUCACAGCUGUAAUCGCUGCCAAAGGUGCUUCUACAAAUAUGCAAAUGAGAUAUUUCUGUACUUCAUUUUCAUAAUAUUUGCAAAAAAAAUGUUUAAACAUGUUUUCACUUUGUCAUUAUGGGGUAUUGUGUGUAGAAAACAAACUAGAAUUCAGGUUGUAACACAACAAAAUGUGAAAUAAGUCAAGGGGUAUGAAUACUUUUGGAAGGCACUGUAUAUUUUGAAAUGCUAUAAAACGAAGAACAAUUAGUGUGACAGCAAAAAUAAUAUUUUUUUAUUUGGGGGAUGGGGGGGAAGGUCUGUUAGAAGUUAGUAGAGCUCUUUUUAAUUUUCUUAGUAGAGUUAUAUGGUGCGGUGGCAUAUUGCUGCCAGUCAAAUUUGUUUUAUGUCAUGUCACAAGUAGAGAUGAAACGGUAUGAAAAUUUCAUAUCACGAUUAUAGAUUAUAGUGACCAAAACUAACAAACAACAAAUAAAAUUAGCAGCAAUAUGCACUUUUUGCAUUGUGCAUAAACAUCAAAAUAAUAACAUUAACAUUAAAGAUGGCACCAUGUGGCCAUGAGAGGUAAAAGUUUCCCUAGUGCAGGUUUGAAUGAACACAACCUUAAGUAAGCAAAUCAAAUGUGCAUAUAAAAGCAACACAAGUAAAGCAAUGUGCAUGUAAGAGCAAUACAACCAUAUGUCAACACAUCCAAUGUGCAUGUAAGAACAAUACAACCAUAUGUAAACAAAUCCAAUGUGUAGGUGUUGACAUUAAAAUAACAACACAAAAUAUGUAAACAAAUGAAAUUAACAGCACUGAUUGUCUGUCUGUUCUCUCCUUCAUAAAGAAAUUAGAUGCUUCUGGCCUAACAUCCUGUAUGUAUGCAUAUUUGUUCACUUGAGAUUGAAAUGUAAAAAUGUCAGCAUAUAUACUUUGUCUGG